rnacentral:rRNA from 1 species
GACGAACGCUGGCGGCGUGCUUAACACAUGCAAGUCGAACGAAGUGGCGAACGGGUGAGUAACGCGUAAUCAACCUGCCCUUCAGAGGGGGACAACAGUUGGAAACGACUGCUAAUACCGCAUACUGAAGGAGGGGAUUGCGUCUGAUUAGCUAGUUGGAGGGGUAACGGCCCACCAAGGCGAUGAUCAGUAGCCGGUCUGAGAGGAUGAACAGCCACACUGGAACUGAGACACGGUCCAGACUCCUACGGGAGGCAGCAGGGGGGAAUAUUGCACAAUGGGCGCAAGCCUGAUGCAGCCAUGCCGCGUGAGUGAUGACGGCCUUCGGGUUGUAAAGCUCUGUUAAUCGGGACGCGGUACCGGAAUAGAAAGCCACGGCUAACUACGUGCCAGCAGCCGCGGUAAUUC